AGCGAACGCUGGCGGCAGGCCUAACACAUGCAAGUCGAACGAAGUCUUCGGACUUAGUGGCGGACGGGUGAGUAACACGUGGGAACGUGCCUUUAGGUUCGGAAUAACUCAGGGAAACUUGUGCUAAUACCGAAUGUGCCCUUCGGGGGAAAGAUUUAUCGCCUUUAGAGCGGCCCGCGUCUGAUUAGCUAGUUGGUGGGGUAAUGGCCCACCAAGGCUACGAUCAGUAGCUGGUCUGAGAGGAUGACCAGCCACAUUUGGACUGAGGCACGGCCCAAACUCCUACGGGAGGCAGCAGUGGGGAAUCUUGCGCAAUGGGCGAAAGCCUGACGCAGCCAUGCCGCGUGGAUGAUGAAGGUCUUAGGAUUGUAAAAUCCUUUCACCGGUGAAGAUAAUGACUGUAGCCGGAGAAGAAGCCCGGGCUAACUUCGUGCCAGCAGCCGCCGCCGUAA
rnacentral:rRNA from 1 species